GGCGUUUCUCCAGGAGGAAAGCUGUGAGCUGCGACGCUGAGGAAGGGGACCCCAAAACGUCUGGCACUGCCCCCUCCAGGGAUCACUUUGGACCGCCUCACUCGGGCCAGCCGGAUUCUGAAACGCCGAGGGGUCAACCUGAUGGGUUUCGGGGUCAACGGAAGAGGGGAAGGGGAGCCCUGGCGGGGAGAACCCCCCGGUCCCCCGCCCAGCAGCUGAGGCACAGGAGGGCGGCCAUCUUGGCCGGGAGGGUAGGGCUGGGGAGCUGCGGGCGCCGUGCGAUUGGGGGGCUCGCCCGGAAGUGACGCCAACUACCCGGAAGCGGAGGGGGUUCCCUGGCCCACUCCCCCCUCGUUCGUUUGCUCCCCCGCUUCCUCCC
rnacentral:lncRNA from 1 species